GAGAUCGGGAUAACACCUGGAAACAGAUGCUAAUACCGGAUACAACAGAUGAUGCCUAUCAACUGUUUAAAAGAUGGUUCUGCUAUCACUCUUGGAUGGACCUGCGGUGCAUUAGCUAGUUGGUAGGGUAACGGCCUACCAAGGCGAUGAUGCAUAGCCGAGUUGAGAGACUGAUCGGCCACAUUGGGACUGAGACACGGCCCAAACUCCUACGGGAGGCAGCAGAC
rnacentral:rRNA from 1 species